rnacentral:rRNA from 1 species
CGAACGGGAUUAUCUGGAGAGCUUGCUCGAAGGGUAUGAGAGUGGCGAACGGGUGCGUAACGCGUAUGCAACCUACCUAUCACAGGGGGAUAGCCCGGCGAAAGUCGGAUUAACACCGCAUGACAUCAUGAUAUGGCAUCAUAUUAUGAUCAAAUCUGAGGAGGUGAUAGAUGGGCAUGCGUGCCAUUAGCUAGUUGGCGGGGUAACGGCCCACCAAGGCGACGAUGGCUAGGGGAUCUGAGAGGAUUGCCCCCCACACUGGUACUGAGACACGGACCAGACUCCUACGGGAGGCAGCAGUAAGGAAUAUUGGUCAAUGGAGGGAACUCUGAACCAGCCAUGCCGCGUGCAGGAAGACUGCCCUAUGGGUUGUAAACUGCUUUUGUUAGGGAAUAAACCUUUCUACGUGUAGGAAGCUGAAUGUACCUAAAGAAUAAGGAUCGGCUAACUCCGUGCCAGCAGCCGCGGUAAUACGGAGGAUCCAAGCGUUAUCCGGAUUUAUUGGGUUUAAAGGGAGCGUAGGCGGCCUGUUAAGUCAGGGGUGAAAGACGGCAGCUCAACUGUCGCAGUGCCCUUGAUACUGAUGGGCUUGAAUUCAGAUGAGGUAGGCGGAAUGUGACAAGUAGCGGUGAAAUGCAUAGAUAUGUCACAGAACACCGAUUGCGAAGGCAGCUUACUAAACUGCGAUUGACGCUGAGGCUCGAAAGCGUGGGGAUCGAACAGGAUUAGAUACCCUGGUAGUCCACGCCCUAAACGAUGAUGACUCGAUGUUAGCGAUAUACCGUUAGCGUCCAAGCGAAAGCGUUAAGUCAUCCACCUGGGGAGUACUCCGCAAGGG